UAAGAGGUCCCACCUGCCCAGUGACUAUAAGUUCAACGGCCGCGGUAUUUUGACCGUGCAAAGGUAGCACAAUCACUUGUCCUUUAAAUGGGGACCUGUAUGAAUGGUGUGACGAAGGCUAAGCUGUCUCCUCUUUCAAGUCAAUGAAAUUGAUCUCCCCGUGCAGAAGCGGGGAUACCAACAUAAGACGAGAAGACCCUAUGGAGCUUUAGACACCAGAACAGCCCACGUUAAAUAACCCUCGACACAAGCAAAACUAAAUGGAACCUGUCCAAAUGUCUUUGGUUGGGGCGACCGCGUGACAUCAAAAAACCCCCGCGUGGAACAGAAACAAGCACCGUUUCUGAGACUUAAAGUUUCCACUAAAAGUCCCAGAAUAUCUGACCAAAAAUGAUCCGGCAUUUGCCGACCAACGAACCCAGUUACCCUAGGGAUAACAGCGCAAUCCUCUUCCAGAGCCCAUAUCGACAAGAGGGUUUACGACCUCGAUGUUGGAUCAGGGCAUCCUAAUGGUGCAGCCGCUAUUAAGGGUUCGUUUGUUCAACG
rnacentral:rRNA from 1 species